UGUUAGCUGUGCAAUUUUGUGACAAUUUAUCUUGAUCUUGCAAGGAUCAUUUCAUGAGGUUGGGGCAAAUCGAGACCACCAAACUAACCCAUCACUUUUAGUGUUAAAGCAAUUAUUCAUCAUUUAGCGUGUUAAAACACAAUUAUAUUUUUGAGGAAAGGAAAAUUUGUCUUUCAACACACUAAAUGAUAAAUUAUGUCUUUAAGUU